rnacentral:sRNA from 2 species
GCUGGGAGGUGGUGGAGCUGCAACCGGGAGUGGAAGAGGGAGGGGGAGAUAAUCGUCUCAUCCGUGUUGAGGUUUCUCAUUGACUACUCAUCUGGGUUUCAUUUUUGACUUUUCAAUUUCUUUCGUCAGGAUGUACCUUCUACAAGACGGCAUGAUGCAUAUCACAUAGAAAGGCGUUAACGGAGCGACCUUCAAUUCUUGUCUUUCAAUUCCUUCCCCCAUUUUUGUGUAUGUAUGUCUUGGUGGGUUAUGCUAAUAUGAAUACGGAAUACAUACUAUUUUAUAGAUAUUUAUUCCGACUCUCGAACGCCCUCUUAGCUUUGCUUAUAACCUUGAUUUUGUGAAAAAAGAGUUGUAAUACAACAAGCAACGCUCCGCGAGUUGCGUUUCAAAGAGAUAUCAUCCCCUCGAGCAACCAUCACCAUCAACAACCACCUGAGCGGUGAUUGAAGAGGCAACUGUCUUAAGUACGCCGAUAAUUCUAUAGUUAUAAUAAAUAAGAAACACCAAAGAUAUACACCUAGCCGGGGAAAAUCGGUUGUAAACGCCGGUGCUCUCUAAUCUGUUUCCAGCCUCUUCUACCCCUUUGGCACAACCUCCUUCUUCACCAACAGCAGCACCAGCCGCUUGACCAUACCCGUAACUGAUUUUAUCAGGGACUUCACCAAUACCUGAGCUUCGCCGAAAACACACUUCAUUUUACCCACGACGCUAACGCCUUCAGGCUUAUCAAACACCACUUGCCCAGGCGGCAACACCCGACUCUUCGCUCCCUCCAACUUCAAGGGCGUAGUUAGUUUAUAUUCCCACACUAGCUCCUCGCCGAUAUAUAAAGAAUACCUUAACACCGAGUUCCUACCGUCCUCAACGUCGAUGUUAACUAUACCCACCUUGUUAUUACCCGCGGGCAGGUAUUUGAUUACGACAUCCUCAUCGUCAGACUGCGAAAAUAUGCCACCGGGGACGUGGAACAUAUUCAGCGGACCAGUGCAAAAUUCGUGAAUACCCAUUCCGUCUUCAGGGCUACUGUCGGCCCCAGAUCCUUUUUGCCCCGGUGUGCCCGCUAGGAACGGGUCGGGAAAUCUUAUCGCGCCAAAUUCAUGUCUAUCACCACUCAGAAGCACGACGCGGACUCCCAAUUCACGCUCUGCCCGCCAGAUAGCGUCAAAGAUCCGGCGGCGUUCACCCAGAAACCCGCCCCAUGUAUCCUCCGUCCCGAUGCGCCAGUUUUUCGAAAACGGGACGCUACUGGCGAUUAUUUUCCACUGAACGCCGGUGGGUUCUUCGCGGGAGAUCCAGUGAAGAAGGGAAUUCAGCUGUGCGGAACCGAGCAUUGUGGAAUUGUCCCGUAGAGGUUCCGAGCGAUAUGUGCGCGUAUCGAGCAUGAAGAAGGAAGCGGGGCCGUUCGUGAAAGAGAAAUAGGUGGUGUUGAAUGGGACGGAGAAAGGAGAUUUAUCGGUUGGUGGGUUAACGCUCAUGUGGUAAUGGCGGUAGGUGUCGAAUGCUGCUGGAUAGGGGUCGGUUUCGUUUCCUAGAUGCCAGUCGUUUGCGAUUUCGUGGUCGUCCAAGGUAUGUAUCCAAGGGAUGUUCAUUGCGGGUUCUGGACCAGUGUACCAUGAUGGAGACGCGUAGACUUUGCGGUAUUCGCUGCGGUAGUGGGAGAUGGAAGAUCCCCAGCGGAAGGGUACGUCAAUAUAGAUAAAAUCCCCUAGGAAGAGCAUGAAUGACGGCCGUGAGAAGGAUGGAAGCUUUGACACAAUCGUGGAAAUAAGCUCGAGGCCGUAGAUCCGCAAGGGGUGGUUUAGAGGGUUGUAAGGGAAGUUUGCCUUCAUGCAACUCGAGCUUAGGAAACUGAGUCUAUAUGCUGCAGCGGAGCCAGGAGCCGCGGCGGUAUUAAAUUUGCCGGACAUGUUAUUUGAGAGCGAGUAUUGAUAUUCCUUGGAAGGCUGAAGUCCAGUCAAAGUAAUAGGAAAAGUGUAAUCGGUGUCAUUGUUGAUAACAUAUAUUACUCCCCCUUCAAACGACUCGCCCUCGCGGCCGUUUUCUAUCACCCUGUACGAUAUAC